rnacentral:rRNA from 1 species
GAUGAACGCUGGCGGCGUGCCUAAUACAUGCAAGUCGAGCGAACGGACGAGAAGCUUGCUUCUCUAAUGUUAGCGGCGGACGGGUGAGUAACACGUGGAUAACCUACCUAUAAGACUGGGAUAACUUCGGGAAACCGUAGCUAAUACCGGAUAAUAUUUUGAACCGCAUGGUUCAAAAGUGAAAGACGGUCUUGCUGUCACUUAUAGAUGGAUCCGCGCUGCAUUAGCUAGUUGGUAAAGUAACGGCUUACCAAGGCAACGAUGCAUAGCCGACCUGAGAGGGUGAUCGGCCACACUGGAACUGAGACACGGUCCAGACUCCUACGGGAGGCAGCAGUAGGGAAUCUUCCGCAAUGGGCGAAAGCCUGACGGAGCAACGCCGCGUGAGUGAUGAAGGUCUUCGGAUCGUAAAACUCUGUUAUUAGGGAAGAACAUAUGUGUAAGUAACUGUGCACAUCUUGACGGUACCUAAUCAGAAAGCCACGGCUAACUACGUG